AUUGAACGCUGGCGGCAGGCUUAACACAUGCAAGUCGAGCGGAGAGAAGUAGCUUGCUACUGAUUUUAGCGGCGGACGGGUGAGUAAUACUUAGGAAUCUGGCUAUUAGUGGGGGACAACAUUUCGAAUGGGAUGCUAAUACCGCAUACGUCCUACGGGAGGAAGCAGGGGAUCAGUAAUGACCUUGCGCUAAUAGAUGAGCCUAAGUCGGAUUAGCUAGUUGGUGGGGUAAAGGCCUACCAAGGCGACGAUCUGUAGCGGGUCUGAGAGGAUGAUCCGCCACACUGGGACUGAGACACGGCCCAGACUCCUACGGGAGGCAGCAGUGGGGAAUAUUGGACAAUGGGGGGAACCCUGAUCCAGCCAUGCCGCGUGUGUGA
rnacentral:rRNA from 1 species